AUGAAGAAACAGGCAAGUCAUGUGGCUGGCAAGUGGUAAAGCUACAUUUAGCACCCACACAUUCUGGUUCUGGAGUCCACAAGCUUAACCACCACUUGAAAUUGCUGCUACUAAAAAAGAAUUCUCCAGAAAAAUAUGAGAUGCCCCCAAACAAAAGAAGAAAAAGAAGGAGGAAAAAAGGAUAGAGUCAACCAGAUGACUCAAACUUGUUCUGGCUCUUGUUUACCAAUGGUUCUCAGUUGGUCCUUCACGGCACCUCCUGGAGCAUCGGGAGCAGGGUUGAAGCAGCGGGAAACUGAGAUAAACCAACGGAGCCCAACUCCAGUCACUGCUAUAACCUUGGAGGAGCAGCUCAACUUUUUUGGCCAGCCUGUAAAGCCGGAAGCACACAGCUCCCUCUGUGACUCAGAUCUCCUUCCCUCUGCUCAUACCACCAGAGAGAAAGGCUGUGUUGAAGCUCAAACAGGGACUUCUUGAUUUCUCCAAACUGAGAGGGAUGCGUUUCCAUUCCAUUGGAAGGAAGAAGAGCACCUUGAGAUGUCAGCCACCAUGAUGCUGUGUUUCUGUUUCCCUUUGACCUGUUAUAAAGCUGUAGAACUACAGACAUAAGCUCUUGUGUCUCUCUUCCUUUGGAUUAUAUUGCUGAACAUGUUCAUUUUUUGCCCUUUCCUGGAGGUAUAAAAAUGGCACGUGUAUCUCCACGUACUCGUUUGACGUGUGCUCGUGAAAUCUGCUUGUGUGCCCACAUGAUGGUGUAUGAAGCAGCUCUCGGUGACUGACCUCUCAAUUUUCUCUGUGAAAGAUGAGUUAGAUAUUUUGGGUAAAGAUGAGUGUUGAAGCUGUCCUGGGAACAGUGGUUUGAGAAAAAUACUAAAUGUGUAUGCAAUGUAAUGGGAUGUACUUUUAUUUAUCAAUGGGAAAAGAAAGCUGCUAUGUCUUAAAGCAAAGAUUCUGUCCAGAAAGUUAAAGAAGAUAGUGAAAGAAAAAGCUUCCAUGGGCAGAGAAAGUUUACAAGGCUUUCAGAAAAGUCCCUGAAGAGUCAUCUUACAGAUGAGAAGGAAGAUCUUCUCCUGGGAGGCCAAAACUUUGGCAGAUAUUGAGUAACUCAGAGAGGAAUUCACUCACAUGUAGAAAGAAAUUAAAAUAAAGGAAAGGGGAAAGCUAGAGUAAACCAUAUGGUGUGGUUGGAAUAAACCCUUACUAGACCUCUCCAAAGAAGAUAUGCAGAUGACACGUAAGCGGAUGAAAAGAGGCUCCACAUCCUGUGCCAUCAAGGAAACGCAAGUCAAUAAGAUACCUCUACAAAGCAAUUAGAACGGCCAAAAUCUGGAGCACUGACAACACCAGAUGCUGAUAUUCAUUAGGAGUGUUCCAAAAAUUGGAAAUUGGCAAGAUGAAGAAGAUACACCAAUGGAAACUGAAACAGAGCAUCCAUGGAAAAAGGGAGAAAACCUGAGAGAGUCUGUUGUCCUGGAUGCCAAGUGAAGAAGUUGACUCCAAAAGGAAGUGAUAUCAAACCUGAAGCAGAUGCAUCUCUCUUGAAUCCUGGUGAAAGAUACAGACACUCAGCAAGUGAAACUGGUGCUCUUCCCACCAUCUGCUCUCCCUGGGUGAGGACCAUCUCUGCAUCACGUGCUUCACUUGAUUGGCAUUGUUCCAGAGCGAAUAAAUUACUUGACUACAGAAAGAGCAGUUACACUUGAGCUUCAACUAAACAACAACAACAACAAUAGAAAUGAUAAAAGUAACAAUACGAACAACUGUGCAUUUGUUUACCUGCUGGAUUAUUCGGAAAUAUGAGGGCCACAGACACGGACGUGUCUGUUGUCUAAUACCUUGUCUCCUAUGGGACAUAAAGAUCAAAAACUUUUUCCUGAAAAACGCAUGUGAAAUUUACAUACAAUGAAAUUCAUAGAGCCCACAGUUCUUUGAUUGCCCAUUUGAUCAGGGACUAAUUGCCAUAUUAAAAUCACCCUCUGUCAGUUACUACUUUUUUUUUAAUGUGUUGGUUUCUUGUUUAGACAAACAUAUAUAUUUUAUUUCCCCUGAAUAUGGAAUUCUAAUACCUCAGUAUUGAACCUCGACUCAAAUCUUACCCUUUUUUAUAAAUGAGGGGACAGUUUUGUAAAAAUAUUAUUUUUAAUUAUCUAAUACUUUCC
ensembl:lncRNA